rnacentral:rRNA from 1 species
UACAGGGGGGCAAGCGUUGUUCGGAAUUACUGGGCGUAAAGGGCUCGUAGGUGGCCAACUAAGUCAGACGUGAAAUCCCCUCGGCUUAACCGGGGAACUGCGUCUGAUACUGGAUGGCUAGAGUUUGGGAGAGGGAUGCGGAAUUCCAGGUGUAGCGGUGAAAUGCGUAGAUAUCUGGAGGAACACCGGUGGCGAAGGCGGCAUCCUGGACCAACACUGACGCUGAGGAGCGAAAGCCAGGGGAGCAAACGGG